CACCAGAGUAACAAUUGGAGGGCAAGUCUGGUGCCAGCAGCCGCGGUAAUUCCAGCUCCAAUAGCGUAUAUUAAACUUGUUGCAGUUAAAAAGCUCGUAGUUGAAUUUUUGCGUCACCGUGUAUCGACAUUGGUCGUUUAUCGGUUUCGCUUUUGGGAUUUAUCCCUUUUUACUUUGAGAAAAUUAGAGUGUUUCAAGCAGACUUUUGUCUUGAAUACUUCAGCAUGGAAUAAUAGAGUAGGACUUUGGUUCUAUUUUGUUGGUUUGUGAACCUUAGUAAUGGUUAAUAGGAACGGUUGGGGGCAUUCGUAUUUAACUGUCAGAGGUGAAAUUCUUAGAUUUGUUAAAGACGAACUACUGCGAAAGCAUUUGCCAAGGACGUUUUCAUUAAUCAAGAACGAAAGUUAGGGGAUCGAAGACGAUCAGAUACCGUCGUAGUCCUAACCAUAAACUAUGCCGACUAGGGAUUGGAGGUCGUCAUUUUUCCGACUCCUUCAGCACCUUGAGAGA
rnacentral:rRNA from 1 species